rnacentral:rRNA from 1 species
CAUGUUUUUUUGAAUAUAAUUUAAAAUUUAAUCUGCCCAUAUGAUUAAUGAUUUAAUGGCCGCAGUAUUUUGACUGUGCAAAGGUAGCGUGAUAAUUAGUUUCUUAAUUGGAAGCUGGAAUGAAGGAUUGGACGAGAAAAUUACUGUCUUUAUUAUAAAAUUUUAAUUUUAUUUUUAAGUUAAAAAGCUUAAAUAAUUUUAGGGGACGAGAAGACCCUAUAGAUUUUAAUAUAUAAAUUAAUUUUUAUUAUUGGUUAUUAAAAUUUUAUUUUUUAUUUAUAUUUAGUUGGGGUGAUUAAAAGAUUUAUUUAACUCUUUUUAUUUAAACAAUGAUUUUUGAUAUUUUUGAUCUAUUUUUUAAUUAAAAGAUUAAAAUACCUUAGGGAUAACAGCGUAAUUUUUUUUGAAGUUCUUAUUUAAUUAAAAGAUUGCGACCUCGAUGUUGGAUUAAAAUAAAAUUAAGGUGAAGGAGCUUUAAUUUUAGGUCUGUUCGACCUUUAAAAUUUUACAUGAUCUGAGU